GAUGAACGCUGGCGGCAGGCCUAAUACAUGCAAGUCGGACGGGAUUCAGGAGCUUGCUUCUGAUGAGAGUGGCGCACGGGUGCGUAACACGUAUGUAACCUACCUUUAUCAGGGGGAUAGCCUCUCGAAAGAGAGAUUAAGCCCGCAUAAAAUCACAGCACAGCAUUGUGUAAUGAUCAAAUAUUUAUAGGAUGAAGAUGGGGAUGCGGAACAUUAGCUAGAUGGCGGGGUAACGGCCCACCAUGGCGACGAUGUUUAGGGGAUCUGAGAUGAUGGCCCCCUACACUGGUACUGAGACACGGACCCGUCUCGUACGGGAGGCAGCAGUAUGGAAUAUUGGUCAAUGGGCGGAAGCCUGAACCAGCCAUGCCGCGUGCAGAAAGACGGCGCUACGGGUUCUAUACUGCUUUUAUACGGGAAUAAUCCCAGAUACGUGUAUCUGGCUGAAUGUACUGUAAGAAUAAGGAUCGGCUAACUCCGUG
rnacentral:rRNA from 1 species